rnacentral:rRNA from 1 species
CUGCUAUCGGAUUGAUACUAAGCCAUGCGAGUCUUUGCAGUAAUGCAAGGCAGACGGCUCAGUAACACGUAGUCAACCUACCCUAUGGACGAGAAUAAUCUCGGGAAACUGAGCAUAAUUCUUGAUAGAUCAUAAUGCCUGGAAUGGUUUAUGGUUAAAAUGAUUCGUCGCCAUAGGAUGGGACUGCGGCCUAUCAGCUUGUUGGUGAGGUAAUGGCCCACCAAGGCGAUUACAGGUACGGGCUCUGAGAGGAGAAGCCCGGAGAUGGGUACUGAGACACGGACCCAGGCCCUAUGGGGCGCAGCAGGCGAGAAAACUUUGCAAUGUGCGAAAGCACGACAAGGUUAAUCCGAGUGAUUUCUGCUAAAGAAAUCUUUUGCCAGUCAUAAAACCACUGGUGAAUAAGGGGUGGGCAAGUUCUGGUGUCAGCCGCCGCGGUAAAACCAGCACCUCAAGUGGUCAGGAUGAUUAUUGGGCCUAAAGCAUCCGUAGCCGGCUUUGUAAGUUUUCGGUUAAAUCCAUGUGCUCAACGCAUGGGCUGCCGAAAAUACUGCAUGGCUAGGGAGUGGGAGAGGUAGACGGUACUCAGUAGGAAGGGGUAAAACCCUUUGAUCUAUUGAUGACCACCUGUGGCGAAGGCGGUCUACCAGAACAUGUUCGACGGUGAGGGAUGAAAGCUGGGGGAGCAAACCGGAUUAGAUACCCGGGUAGUCCCAGCUGUAAACGAUGCAGACUCGAUGAUGCAUUGGCAUAAUAGCCAGUGCAGUGUCGCAGGGAAGCCGUUAAGUCUGCCGCCUGGGAAGUACGUACGCAAGUAUGAAACUUAAAGGAUUGGCGGGGAGCACACAAGGGUGAAGCUGCGGUUCAUUGGAGUCA